GGGAGGCAGCAGUAAGGAAUAUUGCGCAAUGGUCGAAAGACUGACGCAGCGACGCCGCGUGUGGGAGGAAGCCCUUCGGGGUGUAAACCACUGUCGGGAGGGACGAAUCCCGGGCGAGCAAAUAGCUCGAACGGUUGACGGUACCUCCAAAGGAAGCACCGGCUAACCCUGUGCCAGCAGCCGCGGUAAUACAGGGGGUGCAAGCGUUGUUCGGAAUUACUGGGCGUAAAGCGCGGGCAGGUGGCCUUUUAAGUCCUUUGUGAAAUCCCGGAGCUCAACUCCGGAUGUGCAUAGGAUACUGGAAGGCUCGAGACUGGUAGAGGCGAGCGGAAUUCCUGGUGUAGCGGUGGAAUGCGUAGAUAUCAGGAAGAACACCGGUGGCGAAGGCGGCUCGCUGGGCCAGUUCUGACACUCAUCCGCGAAAGCGUGGGGAGCAAACAGGAUUAGAUACCCUCGUAC
rnacentral:rRNA from 1 species